UACGGAGGGAGCUAGCGUUGUUCGGAAUUACUGGGCGUAAAGCGUACGUAGGCGGCUUUGUAAGUUAGAGGUGAAAGCCCGGUGCUCAACACCGGAACUGCCUUUAAGACUGCAUCGCUAGAAUCCGGGAGAGGUGAGUGGAAUUCCGAGUGUAGAGGUGAAAUUCGUAGAUAUUCGGAAGAACACCAGUGGCGAAGGCGGCUCACUGGACCGGCAUUGACGCUGAGGUACGAAAGCGUGGGGAGCAAACAGG
rnacentral:rRNA from 1 species